UACAGAGGGGGCAAGCGUUGUUCGGAAUUACUGGGCGUAAAGGGCGCGUAGGCGGCCUUCUAAGUCGAACGUGAAAUCCCCGGGCUCAACCCGGGAACUGCGUCUGAUACUGGAUGGCUUGGAUCCGGGAGAGGGAUGCGGAAUUCCAGGUGUAGCGGUGAAAUGCGUAGAGGAUCAUGAGGAAGACCAGUGGCGAAGGCGGGUCUCUGGACAGUUCCUGACACUGAGGCACGAAGGCCAGGGGAGCAAACGGG
rnacentral:rRNA from 1 species